rnacentral:rRNA from 1 species
AGCGAACGUUAGCGGCGGGCCUAACACAUGCAAGUCGAACGCGAAAGGUCUUCGGACUGAUUAGAGUGGCGCACGGGUGAGUAACACGUAGGUAAUCUACCCUUUGGCGGGGGAUAACGUUCCGAAAGGAGCGCUAAUACCGCAUAAGACCACGGAGUCUCCGGACGCUGUGGGAAAAGGUGGCCUCUUCUUGAAAGCUAUCACCGGAGGAUGAGCCUGCGUCCCAUCAGCUAGUUGGUAAGGUAAUGGCUUACCAAGGCAAAGACGGGUAGCUGGUUUGAGAGAAUGAUCAGCCACACUGGCACUGGAACACGGGCCAGACUCCUACGGGAGGCAGCAGUGAGGAAUAUUGGGCAAUGGGCGAAAGCCUGACCUAGCCACGCCGCGUGAGUGAUGAAGGCCCUCGGGUCGUAAAGCUCUGUGGAGAGGGACGAAAAACCUGGGGUCUAAUAGGCCCCGGACUUGACGGUACCUCUUUAGCAAGCACCGGCUAACUCUGUGCCAGCAGCCGCGGUC